rnacentral:tRNA from 1 species
GCCCUUGUGCCUCAGCAGCCACAGGAGCGGUUUCGUAAACCGCUAUUCGUCGGUGCAAGUCCGACCGGGGGCUCCA